ACAGUUAUGCCCGAGAGUUCACCACCACCGUGGUCUCCUGCUGUCCCGCGGAGCUGCAGACUGAAGGGAGCAACGGCAAGAAAGAAGUGCUGAGCGGUUUCCAAGUGGUGCUGGAAGACACAGUGCUUUUCCCUGAGGGCGGGGGACAGGCUGGAGCGCAGCGGCGUGAUCUCGGCUUACUGCAAUCUCCGUCUGCCAGGUUCAAGCAAUUCCCCUGCCUCAGUCUCCCGAGUAGCUAGGACUACAGCCUGAUGACCGUGGUACAAUCAAUGACAUCUCUGUGCUGAGAGUGACUCGCCGUGGGGAACAGGCUGAUCAUUUCACCCAGACACCCCUGGAUCCAGGAAGCCAGGUUCUGGUCCGGGUAGAUUGGGAGCGGAGGUUUGACCACAUGCAGCAGCAUUCAGGGCAGCAUCUCAUCACGGCAGUUGCUGACCAUCUAUUUAAGCUGAAGACAACAUCAUGAGCAAGUAGCUGCCAUUGAGCAGAGCGUCAAUGAAAAAAUCAGAGAUCGGCUGCCUGUGAAUGUCCGAGAACUGAGCCUGGAUGAUCCUGAGGUGGAGCAGGUGAGUGGCCGGGGUUUGCCUGAUGAUCAUGCUGGGCCCAUUCGGGUUGUUAACAUCGAGGGCGUUGAUUCCAACAUGUGCUGUGGGACCCAUGUGAGCAAUCUCAGUGACCUUCAGGUCAUUAAGAUUCUGGGCACUGAGAAGGGGAAAAAGAACAGAA
rnacentral:lncRNA from 1 species